rnacentral:rRNA from 1 species
UACAGAGACCUCAAGCGUUAUCCGGAAUCAUUGGGCGUAAAGCGUACCGAUAGGUGGUUUUGGUAGUUUUGGGUAAAAGCCGGAAGCUCAACUUCCGCGUUUGCUCAAAAUACUCCAAGACUUGAGGGACAAAGAGGUGGCUGGAACGAAUGGUGUAGUAGUGAAAUGCGUUGAUAUCAUUCGGAACACCGAAGCGAAGGCAGGCCACUGGGUGUCACCUGACACUGCUAGGACGAAAGCGUGGGGAGCGAAUGGG